CCCACUCACUUGAUAAUAAUGGAUUUAACUUUAUUUGUUAAUUUAAUUUUUUUAAUAGUGUCAUGAAGGAACCAACUUCGGGCGUACUACUGGUGGCCCGUUUAUUGCUACAAGCUAUGACUAUCAUGCUUCUCCUAAUGAAUUAACGCUAUUUAAAUAUCAACCAUUUACGUUUUCAUGAGUGUUUGUUGUUCUUAGCUAGCAUAUGUCUUUACUUUUGAGUUUCAAAGUGCUGUGAUAAAUUAAGCGAAUAGCCAGCCAUCAACUAACUACUACUUUCUUGGACAGUUAAUGAUGUUGUUGGAGAUGUGUAUUGUUUCAGUUAUGAUGAUUAAAUAAUGCAAUAUCAAAUCUAAUAAUUUUGAUAUGGUGUAAAAAGUUGAUAAAAAGGUUAGGGUUUAUGUUUUAGCUUUUCUUCUUCUUGGCUGUAGUCUCGAAGGGCCUAAGUUAUUGUUCUGCCUCAUCUCUCUUCUAAAUAUGUAUUUAAGUGCUGAAAACUAUUUGCCGCAUGUAAGCUUUUUGGGUAUAUGUAUAAGCCUCUCAAUUUUAAUAGCUAUAUGUAUAAUCUAGAAGAUGUUCUCAUAACUUGAUUACGUGUAACUAUAGGUGAGCUACUUCCGUACCAGCUUGAAGGAUUGAAUUUCUUACGUUUCUCAUGGUCUAAAGUCUAAACAAACACAUGUGAUACUUGCAGACGAAAUGGGUCUUGGGAAACGAUACAAAGUAUUGCUUUUUUGGCAUCGUUGUCUAAAGAGAAUGUCUCCCCUCAUUUAGUAGCACCGCUUUCUACAUUAAGGAAUUGGGAACAUUAAUUUGCUAUAUGGGCUGCUAAUAUGAAUGUUUCGCAUCUUCUCCACACGAAGAAGAAACAACCUUCACUUUCAGACGUUAUUGCGGUAAUUAUAUUCCAGUUUUCUCUUCUUACUUCAUAUUGCAGUUUUAUUCGCUGUUAAAAAGUUGUGUUUUUCAAGCAAACAACAAAGAAAUAGGAUGUUUUGUUUACGGUGCUACAGUUUUGAAGAAUAUAACAACAGCUAUUUGAAGGUGAUGUGUGUUUUAUAUCCGUAUUUUUUAUUUUUAUUUUUUUGCCUAUGAAUAAAAAA